UCUAUUUAAACAGUGUCUUCUCCUUUCUCACGCUUACUUUUUUAAAAACUGCGUUUCAGUUUGAUCCAUUUUUAGAUUAGAGUUGAUAUUUGAUAAAGCUUAGCUUAACCCGACCUUAAUAAAUAUCUUGACUUGUGAAUUGUUCAUUUUAAAGUGUUUUCAACAUUUCAUUUCGGACUAAAACUCAACUCUUAUUAAAAGUGAAUAAAAGACUAGAGAAAACUCUUGAAUAAUUUCAAUAUUUGACUUUUCACGAGAUAUCUAGAAUCUACUUUAAUGGAUUAUUUGUGUAUCAAUUUCCGAAUAUUUAACAGUCUUGUUGUAUCACCCAGACUUUUGAUCUAAAAUAUACUUUUCUAAAUUUCAUGACUGAAAAAUUUGAAGUAAAUCACAUUCCUUUUUGGUGAUUGGUGUCAAAUUUACCAUCAAUUUACAAUAAGUUGACGUUAAUUCAAUCAAUCAAAUGGAUAUUGAAUCUCCAAAUAAAAGAAACAAUCGAGAAAAAAGGACAAGUCAAAGAAGGAAAACAUGAGAUAUGAAGAGAAGGGAAAGAGGAUAAAAAAAGAGGUAAAGAAUGAGAAAAUGAAAAUAAUUCUGACUGGCACCUUUCAAGCCAACAAUUUGUCUUGAUCUUGUUGAUCAUGAACAACAUCCAAAAGAUAUGUAUUUAUUUGGUCAUUAUUUGAAAUUUGUUUGAAAUUGAAGGGGACGUUGAUGCUUGAUGUUACCGGUGGGUUAUCGUUUUAUUUUUUAAUUUUUAAGCCAUAAUUCCUUGUUUAAUUUUUUGCUUGUUCUUUAAUAUUUCCUCUUUGCUCUUGAUUUUUUCUUCAUAGUUGAUGAUG